GUACUUCGCCCUUGUGGGGCGGGGAUCAGGGUUGAGUAGAGGUGGCUGGGCUCUGGGUGCCCCUGGAGCCCCGCUGUCCUGGCUGCCGGCCUCCCUGGGCCCAGCCCUGCUGGAAGCCAGCAAGAGAGCUCUCUGCAGGACUGCGCCCGCUGCCCACGGGGCUUGCCUUCCCCAGGCCAGCGGAGCCCCGGGCAGGGGAGGGCCGGCAGGCCAGGAGCCACAGCCACAGCCGCAGGCUUGUUUUUUAUUUUGUUUUAUUUUUUAGUUGUAGUUGGACACAAUACCUUUGCUUCGUUUAUUUUUUAAAGAUUUUUUUUAAUUGCCCAAGAACGUCUCUUUGUUACAAAUUUAAAAAAAAAAAAAUUCGAGACAAUGCUAAUGUAUCUCUUACCUCCCCCUCCCCCAAAUAAAUUUCUCCCCAAAGGUAACUCCUUCAGGUAGUAUUUUUUUUUUUUAGUAUUUUUUAUUUUUUUAAUAAAGAUGAUACAUAACUCUCCAAAUCUCCUACACACACACACACACACUUAAGCAAUAUCGAAUGUCUAAGAUGAAAUGUUUCCUUCUCCCAAAUCAUCGAUGAUUUCUCGGCUCUUGCCCUGCAUCUUUUGAACUUCCUAUUCAGGAUGUAGAUAUCGGCUGUUUCUUGGUCCCCGGAUGUGUCACCCUAACUCUCGGGGUUCUUAUGACUUCCCCAGCAUUGACACCCCACCAGCCAGUCCUACCGUGGUGCCAUGGUGGGUUCAGUCUCCCCCAAGAGGGCUGAUGCCUGGGGUCUCUUCUAUUUGGUUCUCAGCCAGGGGACAGUGCAGACCCUCAGUCUGGGGUGCACAGGGGUGUCUGCCCACCCCGUCCACCCCGUGUGUUCAGCAGGGCUGGGCAACUCCUGCAGGGACCCUGCACCAGGCUCCUCCCCUGGAACUGGGGGGUUGGACCUGGUCCUUCCGACCUCCCCAGGAAUGCAUCCUGGUGGCUGUCCUGGUGGCUGUCCUGUGGACGUUCCGACCUGCACACUUGCCUUGCACCUUGUCCCAUGGCCCUAUUCCCUCCCAGUACCCUGAGUCAGUCCCCAGGCAAAGACUCAGCCCAGGGGACCAGACAGGAGAAAGCCUCCAGGUCCCAUCCCCCUGUCCUGCUGCUGCUGCUGGUGGUAGUUCAAAAAACAAAAUAAACACCAAAAUAUAAAAAAUAAAAGAUAAUAAAAAAAUUAAUAUUUCUAGGAUGCGAGUCUCCAAAGAGCAAAUAGCAAGAAGCUGCUGGUGGAGCCAAGUUUGGCAGAGGCAGAGGUGGCUUUGUUCCUGGGAGGGGCCUCUAGUUCAAGCGCAUUCCCUGGGGACCGGGCUGGAGCUCCCUGGUGGAGCUGCCCAGCAUGGAGGCCCUGGGUCCUGUCCCCAGCACAUAAACACAAUUCCCAGAAUGCGACCCCAUGUGCUUUGCUGGUAAUUAAAGUGGCUGUUCAUGAGUGUUUCCUCUG
rnacentral:lncRNA from 1 species